rfam:Stegodyphus mimosarum contig55921, whole genome shotgun sequence.
GCCUUCGUGGUGUAAUGGUCAGCACGCUGGGCGCGUAUUCCAGAGGUCCGUGGUUCGAGUCCCGGCGAAGGCG